UGCCUUAGUAACGGCGAGUGAAGCGGCAAAAGCUCAAAUUUGAAAUCUGGUACCUUCGGUGCCCGAGUUGUAAUUUGGAGAGGGCAACUUUGGGGCCGUUCCUUGUCUAUGUUCCUUGGAACAGGACGUCAUAGAGGGUGAGAAUCCCGUGUGGCGAGGAGUGCGGUUCUUUGUAAAGUGCCUUCGAAGAGUCGAGUUGUUUGGGAAUGCAGCUCUAAGUGGGUGGUAAAUUCCAUCUAAAGCUAAAUAUUGGCGAGAGACCGAUAGCGAACAAGUACAGUGAUGGAAAGAUGAAAAGAACUUUGAAAAGAGAGUGAAAAAGUACGUGAAAUUGUUGAAAGGGAAGGGCAUUUGAUCAGACAUGGUGUUUUGUGCCCUCUGCUCCUUGUGGGUAGGGGAAUCUCGCAUUUCACUGGGCCAGCAUCAGUUUUGGUGGCAGGAUAAAUCCAUAGGAAUGUAGCUUGCCUCGGUAAGUAUUAUAGCCUGUGGGAAUACUGCCAGCUGGGACUGAGGACUGCGACGUAAGUCAAGG
rnacentral:rRNA from 1 species